AUUGAACGCUGGCGGCAUGCCUUACACAUGCAAGUCGAACGGCAGCACGGGUGCUUGCACCUGGUGGCGAGUGGCGAACGGGUGAGUAAUACAUCGGAACAUGUCCUGUAGUGGGGGAUAGCCCGGCGAAAGCCGGAUUAAUACCGCAUACGAUCUACGGAUGAAAGCGGGGGACCUUCGGGCCUCGCGCUAUAGGGUUGGCCGAUGGCUGAUUAGCUAGUUGGUGGGGUAAAGGCCUACCAAGGCGACGAUCAGUAGCUGGUCUGAGAGGACGACCAGCCACACUGGGACUGAGACAUGGCCCAGACUCCUACGGGAGGCAGCAGUGGGGAAUUUUGGACAAUGGGCGAAAGCCUGAUCCAGCAAUGCCGCGUGUGUGAAGAAGGCCUUCGGGUUGUAAAGCACUUUUGUCCGGAAAGAAAUCCUUGGCCCUAAUACGGCCGGGGGAUGACGGUACCGGAAGAAUAAGCACCGGCUAACUACGUG
rnacentral:rRNA from 1 species